AUGCAUCUCUGACAGACCUGGAGCAGUUAAUGUCUACUGCAAAGGUUUCCACUACAAAUGCAAGAAAAAGAAGGUCCUCGCGCUUUCUGUCUGUCUUGUUGUGGCAGACAAGAUUGAAUGGGGGAAUACAGGA
rnacentral:snoRNA from 1 species